AACAAACGCUGGCGGCGUGCCUAACACAUGCAAGUCGUACGAGAAAGUCGGCUUCGGCCGAUGAGUACAGUGGCGCACGGGUGAGUAGCGCGUGGGUAAUCUGCCCCCCGGUCAGGAAUAACCCGCCGAAAGGCGGGCUAAUACCCGAUAACACUGACGCUCCGCGGAGCGUCUUUCAAAGAAGGCCUCUGUUUACAAGCUUUCGCCGGAGGAUGAGCCCGCGUACCAUUAGCUAGUUGGCAGGGUAAUGGCCUACCAAGGCUACGAUGGUUAGCUGGUCUGAGAGGAUGGCCAGCCACACUGGAACUGAGACACGGUCCAGACUCCUACGGGAGGCAGCAGUGAGGAAUCUUGCGCAAUGGGGGAAACCCUGACGCAGCAACGCCGCGUGAAGGAAGAAGGCCUUCGGGUUGUAAACUUCUUUGAUAGGGGACGAUAAUGACGGUACCCUAAAAACAAGCCACGGCUAACUACGUG
rnacentral:rRNA from 1 species